GGCUGAGCCAGGCUGCUGGGGCCGCUGAGGUCCAGGACAGGGAUCAGCACGUGCUCCUGGAUGAACCGCAGAGGCUGGAAGGUGCUGAAAUUGGCAGAGAACCCAGAGUGACUCCUCUUAUACCCCGACCUCCACACGGAGCCCAGGUCACCUACACCUCUCACACCUCUGCCUGGGUUACUGCACUCAGUGCAAGGGCACCACCAGUUCCCAAACCAGAAAUGGGCGAUCUUAAGACACUGCCUGUAUCCAGUUCCCACAAAUAGUGGAGAACCAGCCAGAAGAAAUUUCCUGAAGUGGACACCUGAGGAUGUUAAUAGAGGUUGUUCCCCAGAAUGUUAGAAGACAUUAGGCAAAAAAUUAAGA